GACGAACGCUGGCGGCGUGCUUAACACAUGCAAGUCGAACGGAAAGGCCCUGCUUUUGUGGGGUGCUCGAGUGGCGAACGGGUGAGUAACACGUGAGUAACCUGCCCUUGACUUUGGGAUAACUUCAGGAAACUGGGGCUAAUACCGGAUAGGAGCUCCUGCUGCAUGGUGGGGGUUGGACAGUUUCGGCGGUUGGGGAUGGACUCGCGGCUUAUCAGCUUGUUGGUGGGGUAGUGGCUUACCAAGCCUUUGACGGGUAGCCUGCCUGAGAGGGUUGCCGGCCACAUGGGGACUGAGAUACGGACCAGACUCCUACGGGAGGCAGCAGUGGGGAAUAUUGCACAAUGGGCGGAAGCCUGAUGCAGAGACGCCGCGUGCGGGAUGACGGCCUACGGGUUGUGAACCGCUUUCGCCUGUGACGAAGCGUGAGUGACGGUAAUGGGUAAAGAAGCACCGGCUAACUACGUG
rnacentral:rRNA from 1 species